rnacentral:snRNA from 1 species
UUACAUGUAUUGGGAAGGAAGCUGCCAUUAUCAACAAAGUGGUUCACUUCAGGAGAGCCUUAACCAUUGCACUCAUCAUUGUGCUGACGUCUGUGUAUUUAUGUACGUAGGAAUCCCAUCAUUUCUGGUUGUUGGGGAUUGCAUUCUUACUCUCUCCUG